rnacentral:rRNA from 1 species
UACGUAGGGUGCGAGCGUUGUCCGGAAUUAUUGGCGUAAAGAGCUCGUAGGCGGUUUGUCGCGUCUGCCGUGAAAGUCCGGGGCUUAACCCCGGGUCUGCAUUCGAUACGGGCAGGCUAGAGUGUGGUAGGGGAGAUCGGAAUUCCUGGUGUAGCGGUGAAAUGCGCAGAUAUCAGGAGGAACACCGGUGGCGAAGGCGGAUCUCUGGGCCAUUACUGACGCUGAGGAGCGAAAGCGUGGGGAGCGAACAGG